rnacentral:lncRNA from 1 species
CUUCAGGAUUUAGGCGACUAGUUUAUUUUUAUUUUUAUUUUUCUCUUUGCAUUACCUAGUUGUGUUUUGACUGCAUCAUGACUCAUGCCCAACUAUGCUAGGUCGUUGUUUGCCAACUGGUCCAAGUGCUUUCUAACCUCUAACUUUAAAUACUUAUGAAAAUAACUCUAGGUUCUUGAACUAAGGGCUUGGCUUGAUCCAAUUUUAUCAAAAGGCUAGAAAUGU